rnacentral:rRNA from 1 species
UACGAAGGGGACUAGCGUUGUUCGGAUUUACGGGGCGUAAAGCGCGCGUAGGCGGAUCGCUAAGUCAGGGGUGAAAUCCCAGGGCUCAACCCUGGAACUGCCUUUGAUACUGACGAUCUGGAGAUCGGGAGAGGUUGGUGGAAUUCCGAGUGUAGAGGUGAAAUUCGUAGAUAUUCGGAGGAACACCAGAAGCGAAGGCGGCCAACUGGCCCGAUACUGACGCUGAGGCGCGAAAGCGUGGGGAGCAAACAGG